GUGCUCGCUUGGGCAGCACAUGUACUAAAAUUGGAAAGAUACAGAGAAGAUUAGCAUGGCCCUGCGCAAGGAUGACACGCAAAUUCGUGAAGCGUUCCGUAUUUUU
rnacentral:snRNA from 1 species